UUGCCGGAUCUUCGAGGUGAUUGCACGUGUGAAGUAAACUAUAUUGCGAAUAGACCGUGUACUGCAGAAAUCAGAUCCGCUUGCAAUUGAUCUCUAAGAAGAAAGCGAGUAUCUAGUGUUAAUGGAAUGAGUAUCUCUUUAAAAGUGAAUUGAUGUAUUUGCGGUCAACUGUGAUUUUUCGAAGAAGAAGGCAACGUGACCUGAUCGUGGGAUGCACGGAGUAUGCACGUCAGCACUGCUUGUGUUAUGCAUGCCACUGUUCAGCGCGCCACUGGUCCGGAUCCCACUGACGGAGGUGCCCCGACGAAGGGCCCCGCCUCGACUCAUCCACUUUCACACCAGCGAGAGCUUCCAGGUGCCAGUUAGAACCACCCAACCGCCAACGACAGCUUCGCCACGGUCUUUGUACCGCGUCAUUAAAUACAACAGGAUGUAUGAAGAUUUUAGAACCAGGAAUGGUAGACACACGUUAUCGAAUGGCCACGUGAGCAGACCGCGGCCGCCGGCAGCCCAGGUGCAAUGUGACUGGUGUGACAGCGCCGUGACGAGACGUCUUCCAAAGAUAUCCAACAAAUAAAUAAAUAUCUAACAAUUUCAUACGUUUA